rnacentral:lncRNA from 1 species
UAAAGAAAUAAGUAGGAAAACUCUUUGAGAGCAUGAAAUAAGAGAAACUGGACAAGAUUGAGAACUUGAGAGAAUUCUAGCUAGUGAACUCAGCCCAUAGUGGUGAACUCUAGGGAACUAAUCUUGCAUGCACACUGCUAGUAGAUAUAGCUAACCUUGAAUUGCGAGUACAAAAAAAAUACCCAUGCAUGCGUACGUGCGAGCAAGAAAAUAAAAAGACAGACUAAUUAUUUAUUCACUCGAUCACCGUAUAUGUACGUACAAUUGUAUAAGGUAAGGUACGUAGUGACUUCUUCUCUUUUCCUUUGCAUCUUUACUUACUCACAUGCGGUACGUAUACACAUAUGCGAUAUACUAAUACUAUAUAUAGAUACAAUUGUUCUUGUUUGGACUCCCAACCGUCGUGUCUAUGAACAGAAACCUUGGAUCUUCUUGGCAGCCGGCGCGGCAUCGUCGACGGCGAGCCUCUUGCCACCGUCGC